CACUAUUGUCUGUAAAAGGUAUAAUUACCCUGCUAACACUGUACAUAUGGCUCACUUGCACCCAGAGAGAGAGUGAAGCCAUGUCAAAACUGUGUGAUUCCUUGAGUGUUUUUCCAGCUACCCACUACUCACCCACCGACUCCCCUUGGACCUCAGUUAGAAUGUGACAAUUGGUGUCACGACCAGGAUCUCGAGGUGAAUGAGCCUUCAGUCCCUACUGAUUCUGGGUCAGCCUUGUUGCCACAACAUGGACUGUGGUACCUGGAGACAGCUCUGCUACUUGGAUGGGCUCUGGUGGAAACCUGAUUGGCAGUAGAUGGGUCCCCAGUGAGCAUGGAGAAGGCACUGAAGCAGCUGGAAGCACAGAGCACCACCAAGAAGGAGCGAGCUUUUGCUGGAAGCAUUGGACGAGCUUUUUUGACUGCACUACAAGAAGUACACACUCAGUUCCUGAGGGAUGCAGAUUUAGAAGCAGUGGCCCCCCUCUUGAAGCAACACUUGGAAUCAUAUAGUUGGGCUGUUGAUGAAUCCAAGGUCCAAGGGCCUGGAUUAUCUUCCAAAUUCUUGGGAGUUAUCAGAUCUCAGAGAAAUUAAAACAGAACUACCACUGGGCCCAGCAAUCCUAUUAUUGGAUAUCUACCCCAAAGAAAACAAAUUAUUCUACCAAAAAGACACGUACAUGCACUUGCAUGUUCAUUGCAGCACUACUCACAAUGGCAAAAACAUGGAAUCAAUUUAAGUACCCAUCAAUGGUCAAUUGGAUAAAGAAAAUGUGGUGCAUAUAUGCAAUGGGAUACUAUACACCCAUAAGAAAUAAUAAAAUCAUGCCUUUUGCAACCAAUUGCAUGCAUCUGGAGAUCAUUUGUCUUAAGUAAAUUAAUACAGGAACAGAAAACAAAAUACCACAUGUUUUCACUUAUAAGUGGGAGCUAAAUAUUGAGUAUUCAUGGACAUAAAGACGGAAACCAUAGUCACUGGAGACUACUAGAUGGGGGAGAGAGGGAGGCAGGUAAGAGUUGAAAAACUAACCAUUGUGUACAAUGAUGACUGCUUGGGUGACUGACAGGAUCAUUUAUAUUCCAAACCCCAGCAUGAUGCAAUAUACCUAUGCAACAAAC
rnacentral:lncRNA from 1 species